GUCUGAUUGCUGAGACACACAGUUGACAAAAUAUGAAUGAGUCUAGGCAACAGUCACUGUUCUUCAUCACACUUCCAGAUUUACAUCAACUGUGUGCUGUCCCAGUAAUAUUAAGUAACAGGGUGGUGGAUACUGAGAUUAGGAGUACACAAAUGAAGAUGUGCAGACAAUUGCUACUUUUGCAUGAAGAUAUUCUUAUAUCACCUGUCCCUGGAAUAUUCAACCAAAUUUGGGUGGUGAUGACGAUACCAUUUUUUAAAGCUGGGAAACUUCAUGCUUAUAUUGAAAAAUAUGAAGCUAAGAUGGAGGCUCCACAAAGAGUAAUUCCUGUAAUUCUUCAGAACUGCCUUUCGUAUUCAUUCAUGGCUAGACUUGCUCCAGCCUGGAAUAGAGCUGGACAUCUCUUGGUACAAGUAUUAGACAUCAAUGUAACAGAAGCUCAAGUUUGUCUAAGUAUAGAAGUUUGCACUGUCAGACUGCCACCACCUGAGCUAAAGGAAUUUGAUAUUUCUCAGAGUACUAUAGAGAAUUUUCAUACUAACAAGAUGGCUGUUAUUGAAAGACAUUCCAUUUUGAGCAACUGGUGCUAUAUUUUGCCCAGUAUGAAAAUGGGACAAAUAAUAAAUAUUCUUCAUGCUGUACCUGCUGACUGUCCAUUCCAUUCAUUCGAAGAUUUCCAGAUGCACUGGGAUGACUUGUAUGGCUAUAAACUUCCAGAAGAUGAUAGAAAUAGUAAAAUAUACUGCAACAUCUACUUCAGAAUGAUCAGAGAAAGGACUUUUACAUACCCUCUCAGUUGCAUUAGAAGUCAGCCCAUACAGUUCUUCCCAAGGGUAGAUUUGGAAGGCGUAUUGAAAAGUUUCCUUUCAGAUUUAAAAUCUAAACUGCCUCAUAUAUGUGGAUUGCCCAUAAAGAUGACAAAUAAGCCAUGCUACUAUACAAAGGAACUAACCAAACCUCAUAUACAGGAAAACAAAGUCAAGCCACCCAACUUGACCACUAAAAAACUGUUCAGGGCAUCUGUGACACAAGCUAGUUCCAGAAAACCUGCUCCUAUUCCAAGUCUUCUCCCGUGUUCAGAAGUAGCAGACCACAAGGUGGAGCUUCCCAUCAGCAAGUCACAGUCCGGCAUUUCCUCAGUUCUACAUCACCAGCCAGAGUACAUUCUAGGUAGAAAGCAAUCUCUGUCUCACAAGGUACCACAACUACAAUUGGAAGAAUCAAAUCCCAACAGAGGAAAUACUCAAGUUUCAUACACAAAUCUUAGCUCCCAAAGUAAGAUCACCCCUAAAUUCAUACCAGUUUUCAAAAAGGGAUUGUCACCAAUGAACAAAAAUAUUUCAGUACUUGGCAACAGGAAAAGAAAACACCAUGUCAUAACGGAAUCAAAAUUGUAUUCACUUAAAACUAAUGUAAUCCAGGAUGACAAACUGAAUUUAGGUCCAACUAGUAAAAAAAGACCUAACAGUAACAUUCAGGUAUAUGAUAGAAAUUUAAAUCAAAAGGGCUCUAGACCUCUGCAAGAAAAAAAUACCGAAUGCUAUGAAAAUAUAAAAUAUCCCUCUCCUAAUGUGAGCUUAAAUGAAAGUAAACAGUUUUCUAACAGUAUGAUGUGUCAGGUGUCAAAUAACAGUUUAAGUGUGAUGAAAAAUGCUGUGGACUUCCAUGGAAAAGAAAAUCUAACAAGUAAAUGUAUAACACAGAUUUUAAGGAAAGGCUGUGAGUCAAUAAAACUGAAGAGGCAACCAUACAUUUUUGAACCAGACACAGAAACUGAAGAUCCCCAACUGCUACAACAGCCAGCAAACCAAACUAAAGAAGUUGAUCUAAGUGACCACAGGUUGGUAGUAAGCAGAACAGCCUACAGGUCUAAAAGAAAAGUAUGUCCUGAGUCUUCAAAAACUUCAAAGAAGCAUCAUUCCAAUACUAUGCAUUAUGAACAACCCAGUUCUUCUAGGAGACAGAUGCAAAGCUGACUCUGCAGCUCUGAGUAUCAGGCACAGUGGAGAGCAGGAGGGAGAGACCAAAGGCCCAGAGCAUUGGAGGCAUAGAGGAGAUACUUAACAGUUA
rnacentral:lncRNA from 1 species